UCUCUGCUUUCAGCUUCUUUACAGUGUUGCCUUGUGGCAUGGAGUUCAAGCAGCAUUGUACAGGGCUAUCAAAGCACAGAGAGC
rnacentral:pre_miRNA from 1 species